GGUUGCCACAUGUAACCCUCUGAUGUUUAGGAAAACACAAGAAAAAAGGUGAAACCCAAAAAAGACGACAGAACGUACAUGUCACUGCAGAAGACAGACCCAUCACCAGAGUAUGAUGUUAUUGGCCAACCUCAGAACUAACAAGCGUCACCUUCCACUGAAUUUGGGGAAGAUGGCAGGACCAUCGUCUGACUGAUUUGUUAAAUCAGGGCUUUUCAAAGUCUGGGACUGUGGGCCACCCCUCAGACAUAGUUUGGGAAAAGGCACACCCUCACCACCCCUAAGUUUACUUGCUUAGUUUUGCAUGCUUAUACCAGGAAAGGAAACUUCCUGAAUCCUUGCUGUUGCACAAAGAUGGGAGAAAUUGAAAAGUGAAGAGUCAGAACCACUCAGCAGAAAUCACUGUGGAGAAAAGAGAGUAGGAGAACAAGCUAGAGUGUAACAUUGUCCUGUGGAGGGAGAGACUGAAUGUCUCAAGCAUCCAAUCAGGAUGUUUGCUCUCAUCUGGGUGACUUUGCUUUUCUCUGUGAGAGGCAGUAAUGCAGACACAGGUAUGCAUCAUUACUGGAUUUGGCUGGGAUUGGCUCCAGCCCCCCUGUACGCAGGAUAAGCGUUUGAUGAUGGAUGGAUGUCCUUCCUGAGGUGCUUCAGUUUUUCCACCCUGAAUUUACCAGCUCAUUAGCACCUGAGAGUCACCUGCUGCCCCUGUGUUCCUGCUAGACAUCCUCUGCUACAAUUAUUAUAACUAGUCCUUUUGUUAUUAUUUUUGUUAUUAAUGUUAUUAACACUACUAUAAAUAUCUGUACCAUUAUUCAUUUUCAGUCUGUACCAUUAUUACCUUUACAAGCUGUACUUCUGUGUGGAU